rnacentral:rRNA from 1 species
CCUACGGGGGGCAGCAGUAGGGAAUCUUUCACAAUGGGCGAAAGCCUGAUGGAGCAACGCCGCGUGCAGGAUGAAGGCCUUCGGGUUGUAAACUGCUUUUAUAAGCGAGAAAUAUGAUGGUAACUUAUGAAUAAGGAUCGGCUAACUAAGUGCCAGCAGCCGCGGUCAUACGUAGGAUCCGAGCAUUAUCCGGAGUGACUGGGUGUAAAGAGUUGCGUAGGUGGCAUAAUAAGUAGCUAGUGGAAUCUGGUGGCUCAACCAUUCAGACUAUUAGCUAAACUGUGAAGCUCGAGACCGUUAGGGGUAAGUGGAAUGUCUAGUGUAGGAGUGAAAUGCGUAGAUAUUAGAAGGAACACCAAUAGCGUAGGCAGGUUACUGGGACGGUUCUGACACUAAGGCACGAAAGCGUAGGGAGCAAACGGGAUUAGAUACCCUUGUAGUC